UUAAGUAUAGUAAAAAUAUAAUUACAUAACGCUUACAACGUUGAGAUCGCUUGCGUGCUUAAA
rnacentral:tRNA from 1 species